AAAUUAAUACACACACCAAGAUAAGAAACAAAUACAUAAAAAGGGUGAAAGACGUCUUUUUUUUUGUUUGUUUGUUUGUUUGUUUGAUUGUUUUGGUUUUUUUUCGUGUUCUUUUUUUUUCCCCCU
rnacentral:ribozyme from 1 species